rnacentral:rRNA from 1 species
AGUGAACGCUGGCGGUAGGCCUAACACAUGCAAGUCGAACGGCAGCACAGUAAGAGCUUGCUCUUACGGGUGGCGAGUGGCGGACGGGUGAGGAAUACAUCGGAAUCUACUUUUUCGUGGGGGAUAACGUAGGGAAACUUACGCUAAUACCGCAUACGACCUAGGGGUGAAAGCAGGGGAUUUUCGGACCUUGCGCGAUUGAAUGAGCCGAUGUCGGAUUAGCUAGUUGGCGGGUUAAAGGCCCACCAAGGCGACGAUCCGUAGCUGGUCUGAGAGGAUGAUCAGCGACACUGGAACUGAGACACGGUCCAGACUCCUACGGGAGGCAGCAGUGGGGAAUAUUGGACAAUGGGCGCAAGCCUGAUCCAGCCAUACCGCGUGGGUGAAGAAGGCCUUCGGGUUGUAAAGCCCUUUUGUUGGGAAAGAAAAGCAGCAGGUUAAUACCCCGCUGUUCUGACGGUACCCAAAGAAUAAGCACCGGCUAACUUCGUG